rnacentral:tRNA from 1 species
GGAGAGAUGUCCGAGUGGCCGAAGGAGCUUGUCUCGAAAACAAGUGUAGGGGCAACCUUACCGCGGGUUCAAAUCCCGCUCUCUCCGCCA